UACGAAGGGGGCUAGCGUUGUUCGGAAUCACGUGGCGUAAAGGGCGCGUAGGCGGCUAUUCAAGUCGGGGGUGAAAGCCUGUGGCUCAACCACAGAAUUGCCUUCGAUACUGUUUGGCUUGAGACCGGAAGAGGACAGCGGAACUGCGAGUGUAGAGGUGAAAUUCGUAGAUAUUCGCAAGAACACCAGUGGCGAAGGCGGCUGUCUGGUCCGGUUCUGACGCUGAGGCGCGAAAGCGUGGGGAGCAAACAGG
rnacentral:rRNA from 1 species